rnacentral:rRNA from 1 species
AUACGUAGGGGGCGAGCGUUGUCCGGAAUGAUUGGGCGUAAAGGGCGCGUAGGCGGCGCGGUAAGUCUGGAGUGAAAGUCCUGCUUUCAAGGUGGGAAUUGCUUUGGAUACUGCCGCGCUUGAGUGCAGGAGAGGUUAUCGGAAUUCCCGGUGUAGCGGUGAAAUGCGUAGAGAUCGGGAGGAACACCAGUGGCGAAGGCGGGUAACUGGACUGCAACGGACGCUGAGGUGCGAAAGCUAGGGGAGCGAACAGGAUUAGAUACCCUGGUAGUCCUAGCCGUAAACGAUGGGCACUAGGUGUGGGGGAGCAUUUCCUCCGUGCCGCAGCUAACGCAUUAAGUGCCCCGCCUGGGGAGUACGGCCGCAAGGCUAAAACUCAAAUGAAUUGACGGGG